rnacentral:rRNA from 1 species
AGCGAACGCUGGCGGCGUGCUUAACACAUGCAAGUCGAGGGAGAACGGCGGGCUUCGGCCUUCCUAGUAAACCGGCGCACGGGUGAGUAACACGUAGGUAACCUACCUUCGAGACUGGGAUAACCCAUCGAAAGAUGAGCUAAUACCAGAUAUGACCACGGGAGUUUCGGCUUCUGCGGUGAAAGAUGGCCUCUGCUUGCAAGCUAUCACUCAAAGACUGGGCCUGCGCGCCAUUAGCUAGUUGGUGGGGUAACGGCCGACCAAGGCUACGAUGGCUAGUUGGUCUGAGAGGAUGACCAGGCCACACUGGGACUGAGACACGGCCCGAGACUCCUACGGAGGCAGCAGUGGGGAAUAUUAGCGCAAAUGGGGAAACCCUGACGCAGCGACGUCGCGU